rnacentral:tRNA from 2 species
GAUCUGCUAGCUCAGUUGGUUUAGAGCGCUUGCUUGACAGGCAAGAGGUCACAAGUUCAAAUCUUGUGCAGAUCACCA